rnacentral:rRNA from 1 species
GAUGAACGCUAGCGGCAGGCUUAAUACAUGCAAGUCGUGGGGCAGCAGGGGUGUAGCAAUACAUCUGCUGGCGACCGGCAAACGGGUGCGUAACACGUACGCAACCUUCCCGUUACUGUGGCAUAGCCCAGGGAAACUUGGAUUAAUACCACAUAUUAUAUAGAGAGGGCAUCCUUUUUAUAUCAAAGCUUCGGCGGUAACGGAUGGGCGUGCGGUUGAUUAGGUAGUUGGCGGGGUAACGGCCCACCAAGCCUACGAUCAAUAGCUGAUGUGAGAGCAUGAUCAGCCACACGGGCACUGAGACACGGGCCCGACUCCUACGGGAGGCAGCAGUAAGGAAUAUUGGGCAAUGGACGAAAGUCUGACCCAGCCAUGCCGCGUGAAGGAUUAAGGUCCUCUGGAUUGUAAACUUCUUUUCUCUGGGGCGAAAACCAGCUAUUCUUAGCUAUUUGACAGUACCAGAGGAAUAAGCACCGGCUAACUCCGUGCCAGCAGCCGCCGUAAGAC